UCCAGACUCCUACGGGAGGCAGCAGUGGGGAAUAUUGGGCAAUGGGCGCAAGCCUGACCCAGCAACGCCGCGUGAAGGAAGAAGGCUUUCGGGUUGUAAACUUCUUUUAUCAGGGACGAAGCAAGUGACGGUACCUGAUGAAUAAGCCACGGCUAACUACGUGCCAGCAGCCGCGGUAAUACGUAGGUGGCAAGCGUUAUCCGGAUUUACUGGGUGUAAAGGGCGUGUAGGCGGGAGUGCAAGUCAGAUGUGAAAACUAUGGGCCCAACCCAUAGCCUGCAUUUGAAACUGUACGUCUUGAGUGCUGGAGAGGCAAUCGGAAUUCCGUGUGUAGCGGUGAAAUGCGUAGAUAUCAGGAGGAACACCGGUGGCGAAGGCGGCCUGCUGGACUGCGACUGACGUUGAGGCCCGAAAGCGUGGGGAGCAAACAGGAUUAGAUACCCCUGUA
rnacentral:rRNA from 1 species